AAGUAUACUCUGCAAAGCUAACUUGCACAUUCACUGUCCGCGUUACAGCAUCUUCGAGGUCGCUGGGUGCCAGGCACAUCAACUCUUUUCAAAAAGAAUGGAUGGAAAAGCAGAUGUGAAGUCCCUCAUGGCGAAGUUUAACACAGGGGCCAACCCGACAGAGGAGAUCUCAGGCAACAGCCGACCCUUCAAAGUCACAGGGCAAAACUCACCUUCGGGAGUACAAGCGAAAAAGAACUUAUUUGACAACCAAGGAAAUGCCAGCCCUCCUGCAGGACCCAGCAAUGUACCUAGGUUUGGGACCCCAAAGCCACCUUUGGGAGUGAAACCUUCUUCUGAGGAAAAGCCUGACAAGGAACCCAAGCCCCCGUUUCUAAAGCCAACUGGAGUGGGCCAAAGAUUUGGAUCCCCAGCAAACUCAGCAACCAGAGACCCUGAAGUGAAAGUAGGAUUUCCGAAACCUGGAGGCCCCAAGCCCUUCAACCUGCCCAAAGAUGAUUCUAAACCUGUGUUUCCACGGCCUCCUGGGACUAAGCCUUUGCUUCACAGUGUAAACCAAGACCAUGACUUAAAGCCACCAGGCCCGAAGUCCGGGUCUAAUCCCCCAGCCCAGGAAAAUGAACAGAAGCAAGUGUUCCCCAAGGUGGCGGGAGUCAAAGGCAAGUUUGUGUCAGCCACACCAGAUCAUGACCCCAAGCCCCUCUUCCCCAAACCCCUCAUUGGCCAGAAGCCAUCCGUGAGCACCGAUGACUCCUAUGAAGAUGAGAUCCCCACUAAGAAUGUGGCUCCACAGAAAGGACCCUUGGCCCCCCUAGGAGCCAAGUCCAAAACUGGCCCUUUAAAACCAGCAAGAGAAGACCCAGAAAAUAAAGACCAUGGAGGAGAGACAUCAAGCUCACCUUUUCCUGGAGUGGUUCUGAGACCUGCAGCAAGCAGAGGUGGCCCAGGCCUCUCUAAAAAUAUUGAAGAAAAAAAAGAAGACGGGAAGAUAGAUGCUGCUAGGAAUGUCUUCCUGAGCAAAAUUAAUCAGGAAGAGUCGACUUCCGGGGCUUCUCCUGCCAAGUUCCCUAAGAUACCUUCUAAGCUGACCGUGGGAGGGCCAUGGGGCCAAAGUCAAGAAAAGGAAAAGGGAGAGAAGAAUUCAGCUGCCCCUAAGCAGAAGCCAUUGCCUCCUUUGUUUACCUUGGGCCCACCCCCACCAAAACCCAACAGACCACCCAAUGUUGACCUGACGAAAUUCCGGAAAGCCGCUUCUGGAAACAGUACCAGCAAAAGCCAAACGUCUUACUCAACAACUUCCCUACCACCGCCUCCACCAUCCCAUCCAGCCAGCCAACCGCCAUUGCCAGCAUCUCACCCAUCACAACCGCCAGUCCCAAGCCUACCUCCCAGAAACAUUAAACCUCCCUUAGAUCUAAAAAGUCCUAUAAAUGAAGAAAAUCAAGAUAGUGUCAUGCACUCUGAUGGUACUGGAAAUCUAGAUGAGGAACAAGACAGUGAAGGAGAAACAUAUGAAGACAUAGAAGCAUCCAAAGAAAGAGAGAAGAAAAGGGAAAAGGAGGAAAAGAAGAGAUUAGAGCUGGAGAAAAAGGAACAGAAAGAGAGAGAAAAGAAAGAACAAGAAGUAAAGAAGAAAUUCAAACUAACAGGCCCUAUUCAAGUCAUCCAUUUAGCCAAAGCUUGCUGCGAUGUCAAAGGAGGAAAGAAUGAGCUGAGCUUCAAGCAAGGAGAGCAAAUUGAAAUAAUCCGCAUCACAGACAACCCUGAAGGAAAAUGGCUGGGCAGAACAACAAGGGGGUCAUAUGGCUAUAUUAAGACAACCGCUGUAGAGAUUGACUAUGAUUCCUUGAAACGGAAAAAAACCUCUCUUGGUGCUCUGUCAAGACCUCUUGAAGAGGACCAAGAAGUGUAUGACGACGUUGCAGAGCAGGAUGACGUCAGCAGCCACAGUCACAGUGGAAGUGGAGGGAUGUUCCCACCUCCACCAGAUGAUGAUAUUUAUGAUGGGAUCGAAGAGGAAGAUGCUGAUGAUGGCUCCACGCUACAGGUUGAAGAGAAGAAUAACUCGUGGUCCUGGGGGAUUUUGAAGAUGUUAAAGGGAAAAGAUGACAAAAAGAAAAGUAUACGAGAGAAACCUCAAGUCUCUGAGUCAGACAAUAAUGAAGGUUCAUCUUUCCCUUCUCCUCCUAAACAAUUGGACAUGGGAGAUGAAGUCUAUGAUGACGUGGAUGCCUCCGAUUUCCCUGCUCCACCAGCAGAGUUGAGCCAAGGAGUCAAAGCCAAGACAGAAGAAAAAGACCCUAAGAAGCUAAAAAAGCAGGAAAAAGAAGAAAAAGACUUCAGGAAAAAAUUUAAAUAUGAUGGUGAAAUUCGAGUCCUAUAUUCAACCAAAGUUGCAGCUUCCUUGUCUUCUAAAAAGUGGGGGACCAGAGAGCUACAGGUCAAGCCUGGUGAAGCUCUUGAGGUUAUACAAAACACAGACGAUACAAAAGUUCUCUGCAGGAACGAAGAAGGAAAAUAUGGUUAUGUCCUUCGGAGUCACUUGAUAGACAAUGAUGGAGAGAUCUAUGAUGAUAUUGCUGAUGGUUGCAUCUAUGACAAUGACUAGCUCUCAGCUUUGGUCAUUCUUCUAUGUUCAUUUGAUGUCAAUGUGAAGUCUGGAUCUUAAUUGGCAUAUGUUAUUGUGUUCAUAGAAAAAUCAAUGCACAAAAACUACUUAUUACUGUUAGUUAUAAAAUUCUGAUUAUAAAGUUUUGAAAUUUUGAACUCAGAAAAUGAUCCAUCUGCUUAAUCAACAUCUUGGAAGACUGCAUCAAUGAGAUGUAAGAAUUAUUAAAUAUCCCAUUUCUGCCUCAGCUGCAAUUAUGAAGGCACUUCUUUCAGACCGUCCAUAGACAACUCCCCCUUCCUAAAAAAACAAAAAAAAAUCAUUUGAGAAGAAAUGACUGUAUUGUUUAAAGAAAGAUAAGGAAGAAGAAUAAAGAAAGAUAAGGAAGAAGAAUAAAGAAAUAUAAGGAAGAAAAUUUUAAAACAUUUCACAAGAAGGAAAACUUUUGUUUGCACCUGUAAUUAUGAUCAUAUGUUAUAUUCUCUUUUCAAAUCAUCUAUCUUUACAAAGGCAGACUUUUCUCCUCUCUUGCUGUUUUAUAUAUGGAAUUUCAUCAUGUAAGAAGAACGACAAAUAACUUCAGCAGAUAACUUUGCCUCUUACUUCAUCAAGAAAUCAAGGUCAUCAGCCUUUCUCUCGCUUCCAUAAUUUGAUCCCACAUCUACAAAAGUCUUUCUCUGAGGCUAUCAUUACCUCUUUUUGCUUCAGCCUCAGAGAAUGGGGUACCUUCUGUUUAAGACCAAUCUUCCACCAGUGUCCCUGAUAUUUUGCCUCCUGUCUUCCAGUAGAAAUUGAGAUAACUAAGUGCGAUUCCUUUCAACUCCCCACAACGUUCAACCUUAACCCAUGUCCAGACACUGUCCCAGAGAAUAAGAUGUCACUCCUCAGAUUCAAAGCCACAGCCUGUUAUCCCAUGUCUUCUUGCCUUCUCUGGAGUCUUCUUCUUCCACAGUUAACUCAUUCUCAUUCCCCCCCACACACACACACCCCUCUUCCCCAUCACUCUUUCACUCCCUCCCUUCUUUUAAUCUUUAACUUCCAUUGUGCAGAUUCCCUCCUUUGAGACAAACAUACUCCUCUACAAUCUUACCAAAGUCUUUCCUAUUCAAAAAACAAUAAGAAACCUUGCCUUUAAUCCAAAAACGUCUCCAACUACAGCCCAUUUCUAUCUUCCUUUUCUCAUCACAUUAUCUUAAAACGUAGGGUGCAUGUGACAGCCAGGAGAAUGUGCCUCACAGACCUUCAACUUUGUGGAGCUUAAUUGACCAAAGGCCCCAACUUCUACACUCUGAAAUCCAUCACCACAGCUGUGCCCACACCAGGCUUCCCACAGGCUGGUCCUGUGUAGCCAAUGACUGAGCGUGGCAGGCCUGUUCCUGGAAGGUACAGAACCCUCCAACACUCUUGCUAAACCUUCCUUACCCUGCAUAGCACUCUGAGAUGCUUCUACCCAACCAUCUCUCCCUCCUCUCUUCACUGGGGUCAGACCUGCAUUGCUGUCCGAUGGCUCCUCCAGUCUUCCCUGGUUCCCUCCCAUUUCCUCUCAGACGUGUAUCCUCCCCUAAAAAAUAUUAUUGCAUUUUCACCCCAUCUUGGUGUCUGCUUUCCAGAGGAUCUGCACUGAACUCAGUACAGCUAGAGAGUUUGUUUAUAGAAACACAUAUCUUCUCAAAUCAACUGAAUCAGAAUUUCUGGGGAAGGAACUUUUCAAGCAAUUUUUAAUUAAAUAUGAGUUUAAUGCUUAGCCAGGAUUGGGAAACCCUGGUCCCUAUUUACCCUUUGCUGCAUUCUCAAGUUAUAUUCUGUCUUCAACUUACUGAAAUUUGGUCUCUGCUACAAUUACUCUAAAGUCAUACCUACAUAGAUAUCCCACAAGUACCUCUUAACUCAUAAGACUCAAAACUGAACCCAUCCUCUUUCUCCCUUUUGGUUGAUGAUACUCCCGUAGAUUCUAUCUCGGUGACAUCUCUAUCAUCCAUUUACCCAAGCUCAAAACUCAGGAGUUGCUCUACUUCUGCUCGUUCACCUCCUGUGUCCAAUGAAUCAUUAAACAGAGCUCCCAGAAGCAAAGACGCUGUCUUAUUUGUUUUAUACUCCUAUAUUUGAAAUAGUAUUUGAAGCCCUUCAUUGUAUAUUUGAUAAUGAAAGAAUAAAUGAUAUGUCUCCAAAGAA